CAAAAAUAAGUUUGUGAGACAUCCGCACUGAAGGAGACAAUCUUUAGCCACAUCAUUAGACCUGGAGUUUGAUUGCGUUCCAGUGUUUCCAGCUGACCUCAGAGGUCUAGAUCCUAGGAUCACAGACCUAUCCCUAAAUACCAGUUGCAAGAGAAUCAUCCUGCAUAUGUAACAGCACAGAGGAAGCUGUUCAGUGCCAGUUCAUGGGAGAGGAACAUCUGGAAUUCUUGAAAAUACUUGGCUAUAACGAGUUUGUACACCAGAAUUGAUGCAGGACUAUGAAUCCAGAAGAUCUAUCACAGUGAUAUUAUUUUGGAGGCAUCUUGCACCAAAUUAUUUUCUAUACAUUUUCAGAGGACCAGAAACCUAAUAUUCUCU